UACGUAGGGCGCAAGCGUUGUCCGGAAUUAUUGGGCGUAAAGAGCUCGUAGGCGGUCUGUUACGUCCGCUGUGAAAACCCAGGGCUUAACCCUGGGCUUGCAGUGGAUACGGGUAGACUAGAGGCAGGUAGGGGAGAAUGGAAUUCCCGGUGUAGCGGUGAAAUGCGCAGAUAUCGGGAGGAACACCGGUGGCGAAGGCGGCUCUCUGGGCCUUUCCUGACGCUGAGACGCGAAAGCGUGGGGAGCGAACCGG
rnacentral:rRNA from 1 species